rnacentral:rRNA from 1 species
AAAUAUAGCAGUGAGCCUAUGGGGGAUAAGCUCCAUAGACGAGAGGGAAACAACCCAGAUCAUCAGCUAAGGCCCCUAAAUGUAUGUUAAGUGUGAAACGAUGUGAGAGUGUUCAGACAGCCAGGAGGUUGGCUUAGAAGCAGCCAUUCCUUUAAAGAGUGCGUAACAGCUCACUGGUCGAAUGUUCUCGCGCGGAAGAUGUAACGGGGCUAAAUAUACUGCCGAAGCUAUGGGAUUUUAUUAAUUCUGAUUUCGAUCCAGAAGAUAAAAUCGGUAGGAGAGCGUUGUAUGGACAGCGAAGCGACAACGUGAGUUAGUCGUGGAGACCAUACAAGUGAGAAUGUUGGCAUGAGUAGCGAAGGAAGAGUGAGAAUCUCUUCCGCCGAAUGUCCAAGGGUUCCUGGGGAAGGUUCGUCCGCCCAGGGUUAGUCGGGACCUAAGGCGAGGUCGAGAGACGUAGUCGAUGGAUAACAGAUUGAUAUUUCUGUACCACUAAUAACACCCAAAUCGAAUAUAUGUUGCUAAGGAAAGCCCUUCGGGGCCUACCGACCCACAUAUUACUAGGUUAGCAAUGGAGCGACGGAGAAGGAUAGAUGAGCCCAGGUGAUGGUUAUCCUGGGGUAAAUGUGUAGGAAGACUGAUAGGUAAAUCCGUUAGUCACAUAUUCUGAGACAUGAUGCCGAGCCGCUUUUAGGCGAAGUCAUUGAUUCCAUACUUCCAAGAAAAACUUCUAGUUAGUUUUAUUAGUGCCCGUACCCCAAACCGACACAGGUGGACAAGUAGAGAAUACUAAGGCGAGCGAGAGAACUCUGGUUAAGGAACUCGGCAAAAUAGUUCCGUAACUUCGGGAGAAGGAACGCCCAAGUAAAGUGAUUAAUUAACUUUAUAAGCUUGAACGGGCCGCAGUGAUCAGACUCAAGCGACUGUUUAUCAAAAACACAGGAGGAUGCAAAGUUCUAAUACAACGUAUAUCCUCUGACACCUGCCCGGUGCUGGAAGGUUAAGUGGAGAGGUUAGCUUCGGCGAAGCUUUGAAAUUAAGCCCCAGUAAACGGCGGCCGUAACUAUAACGGUCCUAAGGUAGCGAAAUUCCUUGUCGGGUAAGUUCCGACCUGCACGAAUGGUGUAACGAUUUGAGUACUGUCUCAACCAGAGACUCGGCGAAAUUGCAAUGUGAGUAAAGAUGCUCACUAUGCGCGACAGGACGGAAAGACCCCGGAACCUUUACUGCAACUUGAUAUUGAAUGUUGGUGUGCAGUAUGCAGGAUAAGUGGGAGACUUUGAAACAAUCACGCUAGUGGUUGUGGAGUCAUCCUUGAGAUACCACUUUCUUCAUAUUGACCUUCUAACCUAGAUCCGUUAUCCGGAUCAGGGACAUUGUCUGGUAGGCAGUUUCACUGGGGCGGUGGCCUCCAAAAAAGUAACGGAGGCGCUCAAAGGUCACCUCAGCGUGGACGGCAAUCACGCAUUGAGUGUAAGUGCAAAAGGUGGCUUGACUGUGACACAAACAAGUGAAGCAGGUACGAAAGUAGGAACUAGUGAUCCCAUGGUUGCAUGUGGGUGCGCCAUGGCUCAUCGGCUAAAAGGUACUCCGGGGAUAACAGGCUUAUACCCUCCAAGAGUCCAUAUCGACGGGGGUGUUUGGCACCUCGAUGUCGGCUCUUCUCAUCCUGGGGCUGGAGCAGGUCCCAAGGGUUAGGCUGUUCGCCUAUUAAAGAGGAACGCGAGCUGGGUUCAGAACGUCGUGAGACAGUUCGGUCCCUAUCCGUCGCGCACGUAAGAAAUUUGAAGAAAGUUGUCCCUAGUACGAGAGGACCGGGAUGAACGAUCCGCUGGUGUGCCAGUUGUUCUGCCAAGAGCACGGCUGGUUAGCUACGAUCGGACAGGAUAAGCACUGAAAGCAUCUAAGUGCGAAGCCCCUUCUAAGAUAAGAUUUCU